rnacentral:rRNA from 1 species
GACAGAAGGUGCGAGCGUUAUUCAUAGUUACUGGGCGUAAAGGGUAUGUAGGUGGAGCAGCAAAUUUUGCUAUAAAUCCUGGAGUCGUAACUUCAGAACCGGGCUUUUAGAUUACUGCUCUUUGAGUUAAUAACGGGUCGGAGGAACUUCUAGCGAAAAAGGUAGAAUUUCUCAAUUCUAGAAGGAACACCAAAGGCAAAGGCA